rnacentral:tRNA from 1 species
GGCACGUUAGCUAAGUUGGUUAGAGCGUCGUGCUAAUAACGCGAAGGUCGCGGGUUCGAUCUACCACAUGGGGCCA